CCUACGGGGGGCAGCAGUGGGGAAUUUUGGACAAUGGGGGCAACCCUGAUCCAGCCAUGCCGCGUGAGUGAAGAAGGCCUUCGGGUUGUAAAGCUCUUUCGGCCGGGAAGAAAUCGCUCAAGCUAAUACCUUGGGUGGAUGACGGUACCGGAAGAAGAAGCACCGGCUAACUACGUGCCAGCAGCCGCGGUAAUACGUAGGGUGCGACCGUUCAUCGGACUUGCGCGGCGUACGGCGUGCGAAGGCGGCGAAAUCCCCGGGCUUAACCUGGGAACUGCGUUUGGGACUGUGGUGCUCGAGCGCGGCAGAGGGGGGUGGAAUUCCACGUGUAGCAGUGAAAUGCGUAGAGAUGUGGAGGAACACCGAUGGCGAAGGCAGCCCCCUGGGUCGACACUGACGCUCAUGCACGAAAGCGUGGGGAGCAAACAGGAUUAGAUACCCGAGUAGUC
rnacentral:rRNA from 1 species